CACCACUACUUCUGAGUCCUCCUCUCGUCCUCUCUCUGUGUUAUCAUCUGCUGUUCUAUCAUUCUUUGUUCUGGUUCUCCUGUGUGAACUGGUUCUACUGGUUCUACUGGUGAGACGAUGCAUGCAUAUGAAACCUAAAGCUGCUGAAGAAGAAGCUGGCGAUGAUGACAUCACAGAGGACAUCACAUACAGUGAUGUCAAAAUAUCGCGUGACCUACAGCAGCCAAUCAGAUGCAGCAGAGAGAGUGAUCCAGCUGCAGUCUGCUCAGCAGUGACAGGACCAGAAGACAUCAGUAAUGGACAAAUAGUGCUGAAAGACGUCAAAUC